CCAAGUACAUAUUCAUCAAAAACCUCUUUCUCUAGCGAGUGGAGUGGCCUGCCUGCAAGUGCAACACAGACUUGAUUUAAAUAGUACACAAUUUUCAAUUCGUGGCGUCAAGAACUACAGAACCCUUAACGGAAGGGUAACGCGUCAAAGAGUUCACCACAUGCACAACGAAGUAGAUUUGACUCCAACGAAAAGGGACGCUUCCCAUUUUCUGAUAUCAGUUCAAGCUUUCAUCCCGACUGAACUGGUGCGUUGAAUAAAUUGUGUCGUUUUUCGCGUGAAUUUGUACUACAACUGUGUUCUUGUGUACCAACUGAAGAGAUAAAUUGGCAGAGUUAUACCUUCCUAAAUGGUUGUCGAGAUGGGAGACAUGCAAAGGGUACUAGGAAGGAAACAUCUAACCGGUCAGAGAAAAAUUAAUCAGCUCACCAUUUCCAUUCGAAGACGAUAAUACGAAUGGAUUACAUUAGAUGAACUACAAUCUGCAAAGUUAACAUAAUCCACACCCGGGGGUGAAAAAUGAGGAAAUGAACACGGCAAAUCGAACCACUAUGCAUAACUCAUCCUGAUAAGAGUAACACACGGAUACGUACAUGUUGAUAACAAUACCCACUUCGCAUUAAUGACCGAAAUCCACGUCUUCUAUGUCCUCUUGGUAAUACAUAUAAUAAACACAGCAUUCAUUUUAAUUAUAUAUUUAUAUACGCAUAAGCAACAUCUCCAUAAUUUUCAUCCUGCAUAUGCCAGUGGCGAAUCUGUAUCAACACAUCCUCAGUAUUUAGGUCUCUUUGUUAGAUUGUUGAGAUAUUAUUGACAAAUCUCAAUCGAUCUUAUACUUCACGAUCUGUUCUCUAUACGUCACUUAUACGUACGUAUAUUAAUUAUUUAAUGUUCUUUUAUUACAUUAAUUAGAUACCUUCUUAAUCGUCUGUAAUCCUAAUUUUACUACUUGUAUGAAUACAUGUAAUACAUAUUCAUUCAUGGUUACAAUGAAAAGUUGA